GCUAGGGUGACACCAAGACACAGCACUGCAAGGAAAGAAGGCACUCACUUAAGUGGGCUCAGCAGUUUAGAAGAUGGACGAUGCAAUGAAGACGUUUGUUGUCAUUCUGAUUAAGUGGUUCUCAACAGUUCAACAGUUCUUUGAGAAAAUUGUGAAAUGUUUAGGACCACUUGACCAGUCAGACAAAUGCUGCAGACUUUGGAAUGUGCUAUUUCUGCCAUGUGAGUGGCUUCAUAAGAAGGCAAGCGUUUCUGAUGGCAUUGUUUGUAUAACUUUGGAAAAGCUGUGUGACUCAUGCUUUCCUGCCUUCUUAAUAUCUCCGAGUAUUUUUUUCUUUCAUUGUGUUCCCUUUUGAUAGUCUUACACCUGCAGUCCAAUAACUGUGGGGGGCUGUAAAAAUCAUUAGGGUUCAGUAAUUUCAUUCUGCUGGCGUACAUACAAAAUCUUAACAGCUCUGCUGCUGCAGUACUGCUUUAUUGUUACUGCUAUUCAGAGGUACUGAUUAAAACAUGUCAAUAAAGAACCAUUUGUCUGUGAUGGGUCUGUGGGGGAUGAUGGACCUUGAGUCUGCAGAGAUGGUCACUGUCCAAUGCACUGAAAGUAGUUUAGGUUAAAAAAAAAAAGACAAAUUCACUCACAUAUGGGGUCAUUUUCAAUAUAAUAUAUUAAAAUAAGGGAAAUAUUAUCACCAGCAAGUCUUGUGUUUUAUCAAAAUGAUUAAAAAUGGGUCAUUAUUUCUGCUUUUAAGCUGAUUUAGGACACAUUUCCUGGACUUUAAUAUUCCAUUAAACCACAUAUUACCCCAAAUCUGGCCGUGAUUAACAGAAGCAUUUACAGACAGCAUUGCAAAUGCUUUAAUGACAUUUUUUAAACACAUGAGUUUGCAUUAUGAUGUUUUACGGGAAGUUUCAUGGGAAAAGCAGAAUUUAACACUCACACCUGACACAAGAAAAUCCAAAUGCUUCUUUCCCAAGCAAUGGGUUACUUUAUGUUGUAUAAAUCAUUCAUGAAAGCACUGUGCACCAUUUAUUCCCCCUCUCACUCUCAGACAGCCCCCUUCUCUUUUCUCCUUUGAUCUCCUCCGUGCGCCUAGAACUAUCAAUAUUUGCUAAACGUUUCUCACAAAGCCUGUCCGUGCAGCGGGAGGAGAUGCGGAGGUCUCACUGGCAGAGGAUAAGGGAUAAGACAUAGGAGAGGCAUUAAUGAGAUGCCCAGAGCGAUUUGCCUGUACGUGCGCAAGGGCAGCAGAUGUAGCAGCGUGCACAGUCCCAGGGGGAUCCCGUCCUCGGAAUUUCAUCAGCGGUCAGAGGGGGAGACCCAACCCAGACCUCCUGUAGUGGGGAGAGCUGGGUGACGGACGUGGUAAAUAAUCUUUACUAUGGAUUGCAAUUAUCACUCUUCUGACAAGCAAUCUUCUCCAAACGCGUGUUUGUGUGUGUGUGUUUUGUUUUGUUAGUGAUGAGUUGCGUGGAUAUAUGAGGUGCUUCUUUGGAUCAAAAAUAAUUUAUUCAUCCUUAGAAUAUUAAUUAUUUACCCCCUUCUGCUUAGAUGUCACAGCAGCAUUGUUGCUCAAGCCGGAAUCUUGAUUGUCUCUGUCCUGGUGGAAAACAAAAACUUGCAAACAUUUGUCUUUCUGUGCCAGUGACCUUGCAAAGUUCAUGAAAUUAUAAAGUUCAUUUAAACCACUGCUGGACACUUAUUGGCCAUCACUAAGACAAACAAAACCCUUGAGCUUUAGUAGUAGCACUACUACUACUACUACUACUACUACUACUACUACUACUGCUGCUACUACUACUAAUAAUGAUAGUAAUAAUAAUAAUUACAUUUUUUACUGCUAAAAGAAGGCUGGCACGAUGGAAAAAUAAAUAAAUGUAUGCUCCUGGAGAAGGCACUGGAAUAAAUUGCAAGAAUAUUUGGUUUAUGCUAAUAAAGUUUUUCUCAGAAACUG